GUGGGGAAUAUUGGACAAUGGGCGAAAGCCUGAUCCAGCCAUGCCGCGUGUGUGAAGAAGGUCUUCGGAUUGUAAAGCACUUUAAGUUGGGAGGAAGGGCAGUAAGCUAAUACCUUGCUGUUUUGACGUUACCGACAGAAUAAGCACCGGCUAACUUCGUGCCAGCAGCCGCGGUAAUACGAAGGGUGCAAGCGUUAAUCGGAAUUACUGGGCGUAAAGCGCGCGUAGGUGGUUUUGUAAGUUGAAGGUGAAAUCCCCGGACUCAACCUGGGAACUGCCUCCAAAACUGCAUGACUAGAGUACGGUAGAGGGUAGUGGAAUUUCCUGUGUAGCGGUGAAAUGCGUAGAUAUAGGAAGGAACACCAGUGGCGAAGGCGACUACCUGGACUGAUACUGACACUGAGGUGCGAAAGCGUGGGGAGCAAACAGGAUUAGAAACCCGGGUAGUCC
rnacentral:rRNA from 1 species